AAGGAUCAAGCGUCUGAAGGGCAUCUGGUGGAUGCCUUGGCACUGAGAGGCGAUGAAGGACGCAGCACGUUGCGAUAAGCCAUGGGGAGCCGCGAGCAGGCUUUGAUCCGUGGAUUUCCGAAUGGGGCAACCCACCGCGCAAGCGGUAUCCCAUGCUGAAUUCAUAGGCAUGGGAGGCGAACCCGGCGAACUGAAACAUCUAAGUAGCCGGAGGAAAGGACAUCAACCGAGACUCCGCUAGUAGUGGCGAGCGAACGCGGACCAGGCCAGUCAUUCAGUCUACAUAACCGGAACCGUCUGGAAAGGCGGGCCAGAGCGGGUGAUAGCCCCGUACGGGUAAACCGGACUGAAUGCUCGAGUAGGGCGGGGCACGUGAAACCCUGUCCGAACAUGGGGGGACCACCCUCCAAGCCUAAGUACUCCUCAGUGACCGAUAGUGCACCAGUAC
rnacentral:rRNA from 1 species